GUGCUUGCUUCAGCAGCACAGAGAACAAUACAGAGAAGAUUAGCAAGGCCUCUGCUCAAGUAGGACAUGAAAUUCAUGAAGCAUUCCGUAUGUAA
rnacentral:snRNA from 1 species